rnacentral:rRNA from 1 species
AACGAACGCUGGCGGCAGGCCUAACACAUGCAAGUCGAACGCCGUAGCAAUACGGAGUGGCAGACGGGUGAGUAACGCGUGGGAACCUACCUUACGGUCGGGAAUAGCUCAGGGAAACUUGGGGUAAUACCGGAUACGCCCUUACGGGGAAAGAUUUAUCGCCGUUAGAUGGGCCCGCGUAGGAUUAGCUAGUUGGUGAGGUAAUGGCUCACCAAGGCGACGAUCCUUAGCUGGUCUGAGAGGAUGAUCAGCCACACUGGGACUGAGACACGGCCCAGACUCCUACGGGAGGCAGCAGUGGGGAAUAUUGGACAAUGGCGCAAGCCUGAUCCAGCCAUGCCGCGU